AUGGAGUGGAUGGUGCCAAGGGGGACAAAGGAGAUGUUGGACUCGAAGGCCAGAAGGGCAAUCAGGGUGAUCGCGGAGAAUCAGGUUUACCAGGAGACAAAGGGGAGAAGGGAGAGAAGGUGCAGGAAGUUAUUAUUUCAUGCAGUUGUCCCACCUUGUUCCCUCGUGCUUGUGACUAAGUACAAGAUUCCUUUUUUAUUUAAGAUUUCUGUUUGUGCGGUCACGUUUCAAAGUGUCACCUGCUGUUACAGGGUUUCAGAGGCUUAACUGGACACAUUGGGAGUCCAGGCCUGGAUGGAGAAAAGGUUAGGCCUCAAUUAUCUUCUUAACAGACCAAAAAGAGAACUGUCUAACAAUGUUAUACAAAGAAAGUAUAUGUAUAUGCAACCUGACGU
rnacentral:lncRNA from 1 species